ACAUAAAAAUAUUUACUGUCCACUUACCUCGGUGAGAUUCAUGAAAAUAACUUAUUAAAAUAAUUACAUCAUAAACAUCAUAAAAUCAUGUACACUUUGUAACAGAACACAUGUCAUACUUUUGCACUUCAAUAAUCAGACAACAAAUUUCCUCUUUUACCAGCCUACUAGUAUCCAUGGGGAUCCAUAGGGGGUCCCCACUACACGUGAACCAUUGACAUUAAUAACCUGAUUCCAGGUUCGUCCCCAUACCCUGUCCGGU
rnacentral:lncRNA from 1 species